AAUGAACGCUGGCGGCGUGGUUAAGACAUGCAAGUCGAACGGUUUUUCAGGUGUAGCAAUACACUUGAAAAGCAGUGGCGAACGGGUGCGUAACACGUGAACAAUCUACCUUUUAGUGUGGAAUAGCUCGGCGAAAGCCGGAUUAAUACCGCAUGUGGUUGCUGCUCGCAUGAGUGGCAUACUAAAGUCAGGGACCGCAAGGCCUGACGCUAUUAGAGGAGUUCGCGGCCUAUCAGCUAGUUGGCGAGGUAACGGCUCACCAAGGCAAAGACGGGGAGCUGAUCUGAGAGGAUGCUCAGCCACACUGGAACUGAGACACGGUCCAGACACCUGCGGGUGGCAGCAGUUUCGAAUCAUUCACAAUGGGCGAAAGCCUGAUGGUGCGACGCCGCGUGAGGGAUGAAGGUCUUCGGAUUGUAAACUUCUGUUAAGUGGGAAGAAAUCUCAAUCUUGAAUAAAGGUUGGGUCUGACGGUACCACUAGAGAAAGCACUGGCUAACCUCGUGCCAGCAGCCGCGGUAA
rnacentral:rRNA from 1 species